UACUUUGGGAUUUCCUGAUCAUUUCAACUGCAGCUUGGCAUUUUUUCACCAGUGUUAUCCAGUCCUCAGGUGAAGCUGCUCUGUGUUGAAGAUGCUACAGACACCCAGCUGCAGAGCCCUGGGCCCAGGAGGCUCUAGGCACCGGAGGGGAGGUGAUCCAGGUGAGUCCCAGUGAGCAAGGGGUUCUGCCACCUUCUAACAGACAGUCCAGUGCUUCGGGGCCCCUGUUGGUAAGAGGUCACUGUGGAGGAGAGAGAAUGUGUGCAGCCUCAGAGGGCUGGAGCCACCUGCCAAUUAGGUUUGAUGGUCUUCAUCUGUCCUUGUACGGCACACGGUGAUGGCAGCAGCCUCCGACUGGGGUCAGAGCCAGUGGCCUGAGAACCUCUCAGCUCAGGGGAGGGUGAGUAGCCAAUUGCAGGGUUAUCUCCCACGUGCUGCCCAACUCUUGGGUCAGUUUCUGUUUUCUUUCUCACAGUGACCCAGUCAGGGAUCACAGGACCCUCUGAGCCAGCCGGGCGUCCUUCCUUCACAUUGAAGAUGGAUUCACAUCCCCAGCUGUGGGAAAGAUAAGUGGAGGACUCCCACCUGGAGAGGGGAUGAGAGCUGGGUCCAGUUUUAUGGUUAGGAGGGAGGGAUUGUCAAAUGAGCCCAGGGGAAAGGGUCUGCCCUAACAGGCCCUUGGCACACAUAGGAGGAGCAGUUUACUUUUCAUCAUGGAGUAGGAUGUGCAGGGCAGAGCAGUUCAGGUCUGUGUCAUGUCCUUUGUCCAGUCUGUGUUUUGUGUCUUACUAUUCACAGUCACCACAUCUUUGCUUUCUGCCCUCAAAGUUCUUAUCUGAGGCAUCAUUCCUAGGGUCUUGAACCUCUGCACUGCCCAGCCCAGUGCCCAUACCAUCCGUUCUUUGGCUCACUAGCUUGGACAUGUAUCGGAAUCGCAUCUGAGAAGUGUCAGGUCAGGUGUCUUUUACAGCCUCCUCACAGGUUGUAUCGGUGGCUGUGCUGUGCAGUCAUCUCUUGUAACCGCCUGGGAUUUCUGAGAGUUAAAGAAGAUUCUGAACAUAGCCUUGUCUCCUAUCCAUCUUAGCAAUUUUGAAGGCAGUUCUUGUCCCAGGCCAUUCUGUUAGAGUGUGUGUUCAGGCUCCUCAGAGCCUCCUCCGUUCAGUCUCGCCGUAUCCUCC